rnacentral:tRNA from 1 species
GCCAGGGUAGCUCAAUGGCAGAGCAAAGUCUUCAUAAGGCUGAGGUUGUGGGUCCGACUCCCACCCCUGGCA